UACGUAGGGUGCAAGCGUUAAUCGGAAUUACUGGGCGUAAAGCGUGCGCAGGCGGUUUGGUAAGACAGAUGUGAAAUUCCCGGGCUCAACCUGGGAACUGCAUUUGUGACUGCCUAACUAGAGUGCGGCAGAGGGGAGUGGAAUUCCGCGUGUAGCAGUGAAAUGCGUAGAUAUGCGGAGGAACACCGAUGGCGAAGGCAACUCCCCGGGCCUGCACUGACGCUCAUGCACGAAAGCGCGGGGAGCAAACAGG
rnacentral:rRNA from 1 species